rnacentral:rRNA from 1 species
UAGAGUUUGAUCUUGGCUCAGGAUGAACGCUAGCGGCAGGCCUAAUACAUGCAAGUCGAGGGGCAGCACAGGUAGCAAUACUGGGUGGCGACCGGCAAACGGGUGCGGAACACGUACGUAACCUUCCUUUAAGUGGGAGAUAGCCCGAAGAAAUUCGGAUUAAUACCCCAUAAGAUUGUGGAGUGGCAUCACUCAGCAAUUAAAGAAUUUCGCUUAAAGAUGGGCGUGCGGCUGAUUAGGUAGUUGGUGAGGUAACGGCUCACCAAGCCAACGAUCAGUAACUGGCGUGAGAGCGCGACCAGUCACACGGGCACUGAGACACGGGCCCGACUCCUACGGGAGGCAGCAGUAAGGAAUAUUGGUCAAUGGACGGAAGUCUGAACCAGCCAUGCCGCGUGAAGGAUGAAGGUCCUCUGGAUUGUAAACUUCUUUUAUAUGGGAAGAAACCACUUUUUUCUAAAGGUGUUGACGGUACCAUAGGAAUAAGCACCGGCUAACUCCGUGCCAGCAGCCGCGGUAAUACGGAGGGUGCAAGCGUUAUCCGGAUUCACUGGGUUUAAAGGGUGCGUAGGCGGAUUAGUAAGUCCGUGGUGAAAUCUCCGAGCUUAACUCGGAAACUGCCGUGGAUACUAUUAAUCUUGAAUACUGUGGAGGUUAGCGGAAUAUGUCAUGUAGCGGUGAAAUGCAUAGAUAUGACAUAGAACACCAAUUGCGAAGGCAGCUGGCUACACAGAGAUUGACGCUGAGGCACGAAAGCGUGGGGAUCAAACAGGAUUAGAUACCCUGGUAGUCCACGCCCUAAACGAUGAUUACUCGACAUUUGCGAUAUACAGUAAGUGUCUGAGCGAAAGCAUUAAGUAAUCCACCUGGGAAGUACGACCGCAAGGUUGAAACUUAAACGAAUUGACGG